rnacentral:rRNA from 1 species
ACGCGCGGAACCUUACCAGGUCUUGACAUCCUCUGACACUCCUAGAGAUAGGACGUUCCCCUUCGGGGGGCAGAGUGACAGGUGGUGCAUGGUUGUCGUCAGCUCGUGUCGUGAGAUGUUGGGUUAAGUCCCGCAACGAGCGCAACCCUUGAUCUUAGUUGCCAGCAUUUAGUUGGGCACUCUAAGGUGACUGCCGGUGACAAACCGGAGGAAGGUGGGGAUGACGUCAAAUCAUCAUGCCCCUUAUGACCUGGGCUACACACGUGCUACAAUGGAUGGUACAAAGGGCAGCAAAGCGGUGACGCCUAGCGAAUCCCAUAAAACCAUUCUCAGUUCGGAUUGUAGGCUGCAACUCGCCUACAUGAAGCUGGAAUCGCUAGUAAUCGCGGAUCAGCAUGCCGCGGUGAAUACGUUCCCGGGCCUUGCACACACCGCCCGU